UACCCUGACAGACACACAUCGUCGUAAGGUGCUUGCAAGUCUUUUUUUAAAGAGGGCGUUUGAAAGGGUCAUUUGAAAUGGUACAGUCUUCACUGACGGACAAGCCCGUUGGAUGCUCUGGUUAGAGUUUACGAACAAGAUUUUGCUCAAGGCUUAAGGUUAUAUGACAUUUGCCGAAGUCAAGUGCCACCAGACAUUCAAGCCGAAGAGGCCAAAAUGACCCUAAAAUUGCCGUUCCAUUGCGAAGACUCAACGUCAUCAGAGGACUAUUGCUCGAUAUCCACGUGUUCCGAUUCAGAGGAAGAGGGUUCUUCAAGUGCGACCCACACCGGCCUCUGCCUUCAGUACUUAACUCAGAAAAAAUGCACAAAAACCGCCGGUUGCUCUGACUACCACUCAGAAUUGCCUUACUUGUGGCAAAUUCUUAAGGACGGGCGGUGGGAAAAUCUCAGGCGGAAUGAAGCAAUUGAGCGAGCCUUCAGUAGGCCACAAAAUCACAGCUAUAGGCUCACUUCAACAGAAAGUGAUUCGCUCAUCGGAUACCUGGACUUUGACACCAUGAAGUGCUACGGUCCACAAACCAGGUCCGUUCGGCGCCUGUCAGUACCGUCAGUGGACCGCUGGGUGUGGUACUCCAAGGACAGCUAUGAGGAAUGGGUCAAAUUUGGAGAAAAGAAUUCCUGGGGAAUCACCACCGAGCUGACAAGUGCCAAAAUUGAAGAGGUUUAUGCCCAAAAUCCUUGUGUCGUAAUUGAAUACAAAGACAGCUUGCUGGAUUUGACAGAGAUGCAUGAAUGCACAGCAAAAUGGAAACGGCCUAUCAGGCGACGGCCUGAGUUUCAAAGAAGGGCGGCGGAGGCCGGGACAAUGGUCACAAAGCAAAGCUUUGCGGAAGAAGAAAAAAUACCGCAGCUCUUCAAAGUCAGCUAUGAGCAAGACUAUACGAUGUCAGUGCUGAACGAGUGCAGUCCUGAGUACAAUACCUGUGGCUAAAACCUUCCAUACAAAAAUGUUCCAAAAAUAUUUCACUAUUUCGAGCAUCAAAAGGGUGCACAACCCCGAUCUCUGGGACAUAUACCAAAGGAAAAAAGAGAAGAUGGCAAGAGACAACGGCAAAGAGAACGUGAAUGAACAGCGACUGUUUCACAAGACAAGACCAAACGUAUUAAAUUCCAUCUGCCGCAGAAACUUUGACUCGCGCUACUCCAGGAAUGUACUCCGGCUUGGCAGGGCUGUUUAUUUUUCGUGGAAUCCCUACUAUUCUCACAAGUAUUUCGAAAGACACCGCAAUUCCACAGGGGUGCAUGACAGCAUGUUCUUGGCCCGGGUCCUUGUUGGGGAGAGCUGUCCCCCGGACAGGAUGCACCCAUGUUUCCUUCACACGCCCUCCAAAG